rnacentral:rRNA from 1 species
GAUGAACGCUGGCGGCGUGCUUAACACAUGCAAGUCGAACGAAGCACUUUAAACAGAUUUCUUCGGAUUGAAGUUUUUAGUGACUGAGUGGCGGACGGGUGAGUAACGCGUGGGCAACCUGCCUCAUACAGGGGGAUAACAGUCAGAAAUGACUGCUAAUACCGCAUAAGCUUACAGAGUCGCAUGAUUCAGUAAGAAAAACUCCGGUGGUAUGAGAUGGGCCCGCGUCUGAUUAGCUAGUUGGUAAGGUAACGGCUUACCAAGGCGACGAUCAGUAGCCGACCUGAGAGGGUGACCGGCCACAUUGGGACUGAGACACGGCCCAAACUCCUACGGGAGGCAGCAGUGGGGAAUAUUGCACAAUGGGGGAAACCCUGAUGCAGCGACGCCGCGUGAAGGAAGAAGUAUUUCGGUAUGUAAACUUCUAUCAGCAGGGAAGAAAAUGACGGUACCUGACUAAGAAGCCCCGGCUAAUUACGUGCCAGCCGCCGCCGUAAAAC